GAUGAACGCUGGCGGCGUGCCUAACACAUGCAAGUCGAGCGGAGCUGCUUUGAUGAAGUUUUCGGAUGGAUUUAAAACAGCUUAGUGGCGGACGGGUGAGUAACGCGUGGGUAACCUGCCUCACACUGGGGGAUAACAGUUAGAAAUAGCUGCUAAUACCGCAUAAGCGCACAGUUCCACAUGGAACAGUGUGAAAAACUCCGGUGGUGUGAGAUGGACCCGCGUCUGAUUAGCCAGUUGGCGGGGUAACGGCCCACCAAAGCGACGAUCAGUAGCCGGCCUGAGAGGGUGAACGGCCACAUUGGGACUGAGACACGGCCCAAACUCCUACGGGAGGCAGCAGUGGGGAAUAUUGCACAAUGGGGGAAACCCUGAUGCAGCGACGCCGCGUGAGUGAAGAAGUAUUUCGGUAUGUAAAGCUCUAUCAGCAGGGAAGAAAGUGACGGUACCUGAAUAAGAAGCC
rnacentral:rRNA from 1 species